AUUUUACACAAAUGCUUUGGGAAGUGUGUUUGAAAAAUAGUUUACUAGUUCUUCCAACAGCGAGGAAUUUUUAGCCGACGCAAAAGAUGAAGUUUUCGAAGCAAGUCACCGGUGAAGUUUAAAGCUACCUACUGCCAUCACCACAACGCCUCCGCCUCUGUUCCGUUUAUGGACGGAGGAAAACUUUCUAUGCAAAUUCCUAUUAGCUCAUCUUGUCUGUUUCCUGAAACUGAGUGAUCUUGUUACGAAAAGUUGUGCAAAUAACGGACCAGUUUCUUCGGGCGGUAGUAGUUUUUGUGCAAAUUUAAGCAGAUCAGCUUCAACGGUUUGAUAGCUAAACGUACGGCGAUUGGGUAUGCAAUCAAAAUAAUCAAAUUGUUACCAAGCGUAGAAAUCGUGGAUUGGCCUAUUGCUCUGAAAUAAAAGCGAUUCAACACCGCGGUGUGAGUAAUCAAUGCGGAUUUGCCAUUCCAGUCGUUUCUCGGUGGUAAAGUACAGAUUGCGUAACCUGUUCAUCUAAUUUUUUCUCUACAUUUUAGUUUAGUCCGCUGAAAGCUGCACAGUAAACGCUGCUGGCAUAGCUCCUCUGGUGAAACCCUAACCACGACCGCCCGCAGACCGGUCCACAGCAGUUCAUCCCCGUUUUCGUCCUGUUCAUUCCAUUCUAACUUGUUUUAUUCAGUAUGUUUUUGUUCUGCAUCCCAUUUGCGAAAUUAAUUAGUUUCAGAAGCGUGCUUUCGUUGCAUGAAUAAUGAAUCACGCGUGUUUACCUUGACCGGUACCGGGAGAAGAUUCCAGCGAGUUGUUCCACACCGUUAGCGCUGAAUUUGUUCAAAAAGUCUGCCUGGAUAAAUUGUGUUUUUCGUUGGUCAGCGCCGGUCGAUUGUGUAAGCAGUUCGAUUUCACACUAAGAACAAUGGUCGUGGUGGUACGUUUAUGUGAUGGAGAAAUUUGGUGGAACUCAGGAAGCGAUCGUUUGGGGCUCGGAAGGGAUGGAACCAAUUGAGGGAUGUUUAGUACUACUAAAUAUUUGUGUAUCUUAAUUUAUGCUAGACGCGG